rnacentral:rRNA from 1 species
CUGUAAGCCUGUGAAGGUGUACUGUGAGGUAUGCUGGAGGUAUCAGAAGUGCGAAUGCUGACAUAAGUAACGAUAAAGCGGGUGAAAAGCCCGCUCGCCGGAAGACCAAGGGUUCCUGUCCAACGUUAAUCGGGGCAGGGUGAGUCGACCCCUAAGGCGAGGCCGAAAGGCGUAGUCGAUGGGAAACAGGUUAAUAUUCCUGUACUUGGUGUUACUGCGAAGGGGGGACGGAGAAGGCUAUGUUGGCCGGGCGACGGUUGUCCCGGUUUAAGCGUGUAGGCUGGUUUUCCAGGCAAAUCCGGAAAAUCAAGGCUGAGGCGUGAUGACGAGGCACUACGGUGCUGAAGCAACAAAUGCCCUGCUUCCAGGAAAAGCCUCUAAGCAUCAGGUAACAUCAAAUCGUACCCCAAACCGACACAGGUGGUCAGGUAGAGAAUACCAAGGCGCUUGAGAGAACUCGGGUGAAGGAACUAGGCAAAAUGGUGCCGUAACUUCGGGAGAAGGCACGCUGAUAUGUAGGUGAAGUCCCUCGCGGAUGGAGCUGAAAUCAGUCGAA